rnacentral:rRNA from 1 species
CACUAUCGUUAACUGAAUACAUAGGUUAACGAGGCGAACCGGGGGAACUGAAACAUCUAAGUACCCCGAGGAAAAGAAAUCAACCGAGAUUCCCCCAGUAGCGGCGAGCGAACGGGGAGCAGCCCAGAGUCUGAAUCAGCUUGUGUGUUAGUGGAACGGUCUGGAAAGUCCGACGGUACAGGGUGAUAGUCCCGUACACCAAAAUGCACAGGUUGUGAACUCGAAGAGUAGGGCGGGACACGUGGUAUCCUGUCUGAAUAUGGGGGGACCAUCCUCCAAGGCUAAAUACUCCUGACUGACCGAUAGUGAACCAGUACCGUGAGGGAAAGGCGAAAAGAACCCCGGCGAGGGGAGUGAAAAAGAACCUGAAACCGUGUACGUACAAGCAGUGGGAGCACCUUCGGGUGUGACUGCGUACCUUUUGUAUAAUGGGUCAGCGACUUAUAUUCUGUAGCAAGGUUAACCGUAUAGGGGAGCCGCAGGGAAACCGAGUCUUAACUGGGCGUUAAGUUGCAGGGUAUAGACCCGAAACCCGGUGAUCUAGCCAUGGGCAGGUUGAAGGUUGGGUAACACUAACUGGAGGACCGAACCGACUAAUGUUGAAAAAUUAGCGGAUGACUUGUGGCUGGGGGUGAAAGGCCAAUCAAACCGGGAGAUAGCUGGUUCUCCCCGAAAGCUAUUUAGGUAGCGCCUCGUGAACUCAUCUUCGGGGGUAGAGCACUGUUUCGGCUAGGGGGUCAUCCCGACUUACCAACCCGAUGCAAACUACGAAUACCGAAGAAUGUUAUCACGGGAGACACACGGCGGGUGCUAACGUCCGUCGUGAAGAGGGAAACAACCCAGACCGCCAGCUAAGGUCCCAAAGUCAUGGUUAAGUGGGAAACGAUGUGGGAAGGCACAGACAGCCAGGAUGUUGGCUUAGAAGCAGCCAUCAUUUAAAGAAAGCGUAAUAGCUCACUGGUCGAGUCGGCCUGCGCGGAAGAUGUAACGGGGCUAAACCAUGCACCGAAGCUGCGGCAGCGACACUAUGUGUUGUUGGGUAGGGGAGCGUUCUGUAAGCCUGCGAAGGUGNUGCUGGAGGUAUCAGAAGUGCGAAUGCUGACAUAAGUAACGAUAAAGCGGGUGAAAAGCCCGCUCGCCGGAAGACCAAGGGUUCCUGUCCAACGUUAAUCGGGGCAGGGUGAGUCGACCCCUAAGGCGAGGCCGAAAGGCGUAGUCGAUGGGAAACAGGUUAAUAUUCCUGUACUUGGUGUUACUGCGAAGGGGGGACGGAGAAGGCUAUGUUAGCCGGGCGACGGUUGUCCCGGUUUAAGCAUGUAGGCUGAUUGUCCAGGCAAAUCCGGAUAAUCAAGGCUGAGGUGUGAUGACGAGGCACUACGGUGCUGAAGUAACAAAUGCCCUGCUUCCAGGAAAAGCCUCUAAGCAUCAGGUAACAUCAAAUCGUACCCCAAACCGACACAGGUGGUCAGGUAGAGAAUACCAAGGCGCUUGAGAGAACUCGGGUGAAGGAACUAGGCAAAAUGGUGCCGUAACUUCGGGAGAAGGCACGCUGGUGUGUAGGUGAAGCCCCUGCGGGUGGAGCUGAGACCAGUCGAAGAUACCAGCUGGCUGCAACUGUUUAUUAAAAACACAGCACUGUGCAAACACGAAAGUGGACGUAUACGGUGUGACGCCUGCCCGGUGCCGGAAGGUUAAUUGAUGGGGUUAUCCGUAAGGAGAAGCUCUUGAUCGAAGCCCCGGUAAACGGCGGCCGUAACUAUAACGGUCCUAAGGUAGCGAAAUUCCUUGUCGGGUAAGUUCCGACCUGCACGAAUGGCGUAAUGAUGGCCAGGCUGUCUCCACCCGAGACUCAGUGAAAUUGAACUCGCUGUGAAGAUGCAGUGUACCCGCGGCAAGACGGAAAGACCCCGUGAACCUUUACUAUAGCUUGACACUGAACAUUGAGCCUUGAUGUGUAGGAUAGGUGGGAGGCUUUGAAGCGUGGACGCCAGUCUGCGUGGAGCCAACCUUGAAAUACCACCCUUUAAUGUUUGAUGUUCUAACGUUGGCCCCUUACCGGGGUUGCGGACAGUGUCUGGUGGGUAGUUUGACUGGGGCGGUCUCCUCCCAAAGCGUAACGGAGGAGCACGAAGGUUAGCUAAUCCUGGUCGGACAUCAGGAGGUUAGUGCAAUGGCAUAAGCUAGCUUGACUGCGAGCGUGACGGCGCGAGCAGGUGCGAAAGCAGGUCAUAGUGAUCCGGUGGUUCUGAAUGGAAGGGCCAUCGCUCAACGGAUAAAAGGUACUCCGGGGAUAACAGGCUGAUACCGCCCAAGAGUUCAUAUCGACGGCGGUGUUUGGCACCUCGAUGUCGGCUCAUCACAUCCUGGGGCUGAAGUAGGUCCCAAGGGUAUGGCUGUUCGCCAUUUAAAGUGGUACGCGAGCUGGGUUUAGAACGUCGUGAGACAGUUCGGUCCCUAUCUGCCGUGGGCGCUGGAGAAUUGAGGGGGGCUGCUCCUAGUACGAGAGGACCGGAGUGGACGCAUCACUGGUGUUCGGGUUGUCAUGCCAAUGGCACUGCCCGGUAGCUAAAUGCGGAAGAGAUAAGUGCUGAAAGCAUCUAAGCACGAAACUUGCCCCGAGAUGAGUUCUCCCUGAGACUUUAAGUCUCCUGAAGGAACGUUGAAGACGACGACGUUGAUAGGCCGGGUGUGUAAGCGCAGCGAUGCGUUGAGCUAACCGGUACUAAUGAACCGUGAGGCUUAACCUU